GAUGAACGCUAGCGGCAGGCUUAAUACAUGCAAGUCGAGGGGCAGCACGUUUCGCAGCCAUGCGGGAUGGUGGCGACCGGCAAACGGGUGGGGAUCGCGUACACAAUCUUCCCAGAGCAGGGGGAUAACCCGGGGAAACCCGGACUAAUACCCCGUAGUUUACUUUGAAGGCUUCUUUGAGGUAAUAAAACUCCGGUGGCUUUGGAUGAGUGUGCGUCCCAGUAGGUAGUUGGCAGGGUAACGGCCUACCAAGCCUUCGAUGGGUAACUGGUGUGAGAGCACGACCAGUGACACGGGCACUGAGACACGGGCCCGACUCCAACGGGAGGCAGCAGUAAGGAAUAUUGGUCAAUGGACGCAAGUCUGAACCAGCCAUGCCGCGUGAAGGAUGAAGGGCCUCUGGAUUGUAAACUUCUUUUAUAGGGGGCGAAAAAAGGGUUUUUUAACUCACUGGACGGUACCUUAUGAAUAAGCACCGGCUAACUCCGG
rnacentral:rRNA from 1 species